rnacentral:tRNA from 1 species
AACUCCAUAGUGUAGUGGUUAGCACAUCUGCUUUACACGCAGAAGGUCCUGGGUUCGUGCCCCAGGUUGAGCCA